rnacentral:sRNA from 2 species
ACGGACCACUCGUACGCACUGCUUGUCCGUGCGCCGUCCCCAUCCACCUGAGCGCUGCUCGCUACGUUGUCAGCU